AAUAAGUGCAGCCAUAAAUUUUCGCGUCCAAUUUUAAUCGUCCGUCUUAUUUGAAAUUUUUUUAUAAUUAGUAUUUUUGUUGUUAUAAGAUAAUAAAACAUGAAUAGUACUUUACUCGUGACUUAUAUUUUUAAAUUUUUUAAAAAUAAAAUUUAAAUAAGAUAAACAGUUAAAAUUGGGCACGAAAAAUUAUAGCUGCACUUAUU
rfam:Oryza nivara chromosome 9, whole genome shotgun sequence.